rnacentral:rRNA from 1 species
AUUGAACGCUGGCGGCAGGCCUAACACAUGCAAGUCGAGCGAGCGGCGGACGGGUGAGUAAUGUAUGGGGACUGCCCGAUAGAGGGGGAUAACUACUGGAAACGGUAGCUAAUACCGCAUACUAUCGGAUAACCCAUAUGGGAUUAGCUAGUAGGUGUGGUAAUGGCUCACCUAGGCGACGAUCCCUAGCUGGUCGGGGAGGAUGAUCAGCGACACUGGGACUGAGCCACGGCCCAGCCUCAGACGGAGGCAGCAGUGGGGAAUAUUGCACAAUGGGCGCAAGCCUGAUGCAGCCAUGCCGCGUGUAUGAAGAAGGCCCUAGGGUUGUAAAGUACUUUCAGUCGGGAGGCGUUACCGACAGAAGAAGCACCGGCUAACUCCGUGCCAGCAGCCGCGGUAAUAC